rnacentral:lncRNA from 1 species
ACCCAGGUUCCAGCAGCAUCACGGUGGCACCAGUGAUAGCAGUGUAAAAGCACUUGGCCUCUUUCAAUCUGGACAGUUACCUGUGAGGCACUGAGAGAGCUUCCUACAGCGAGGUCAUUCCAGCUGUCAGUCACUGCUCACCUGGGCCACAUUUGAUUGCUGAUCCCAAGAUGAAAGGUUUCAUCCUGUCUUCUCCAGAGGUGGCUGUUCUUCCUGAAGAAAUAUUUCAAGACCAUUUCUACUGGAUACAGGAAAAAGAAGCAAACACAUCCCCAGGCUUUUACUUCCAUGCUGGUAUUGCAUAGCUUCCUGUGACCCUCUCUUCUCCCAGCAAUGCAUGGCUUUAAGGUUGCACAGGCUGGGUGGAAUAUAUUUUAGAGCGAGACUCAAUUUAGCCAUGAUGUCAACUGCAGCCAACUAUAAAAAGCUCAGUAACGCUCUUUGAAAGUGUAACAGCUGCCGCUCUACACAGUCCCUGGUGUAUUACAAGUCCGCCCUACUUCAUGUGCACACAACCAAAAUAAAAUACGGUAGUAAUCAUUAUAUAGUUCAAGGAAUUUGGGACAAAAUCUCCCCAGAAACCAGGAGGAAUUCAAGUGAUCCCUACACAGUGACAACCGAGCAGAAAACCUUUUGGCAGUUCUGGAUAAACUGACUUCUUGCAUGGGCAAAGCAUGUGAAAGAAAAAGGAUUCAUGUCUCCCUGUCUUUAAGAAAACAUAUGACCUCUUCAGCAGCAAUUCCUCUCAAUCAUCAGCAAGAUAGAGACCAGAAGGUCUACAUUUCUUACUGGAGGGCACUGUUGCUGGACUAGACUGCCUCUCUGGGACUUGUAUUUCCUCCGUGUUUCCCUUCCCAUGCAGAACCCGCUGUUCCAAGAAACAAGUGAAUAAUUUACUGGCUGAACUGAGCAUAUUCAUCUUAUCUGCGAAUUAAGCUAAGGGUUCUCUCAAAUACAUAAAUUAUUGGGAAUUU